rnacentral:rRNA from 1 species
UACGGGGGGGGCAAGCGUUGUUCGGAAUUACUGGGCGUAAAGGGCUGGUAGGCGGCCAACUAAGUCGGAUGUGAAAUCCCCAGGCUUAACCUGGGAACUGCAUCCGAUACUGGUCGGCUUGAAUCCGGGAGAGGGAUGCAGAAUUCCAGGUGUAGCGGUGAAAUGCGUAGAUAUCGGGAGGAACACCAGUGGCGAAGGCGGUUGCCUGGAGCUUUGCUGACGCUGAUGCGCGAAAGCGUGGGGAGCGAUCCGG